UCUUUUUUCUUUUAGCACUAGUUUUGCUCCCUGGAGGUCUUCAUGGUAUUUAGCAUGUGAUAUUUCUAGUAAUUGUUCAUGAAGAUUUUGGAUUCUUGUUUUUAAUUCAAGGACAAUUUUUUGUACUAAAUCUAUCUUUGUGGUUUGUGAAUUUUGAUUCUUAAAGAUUUGUACUAAUGCUUGGUUUUGAACAAUUUAAAGCUGCUUCAGCUGCUAAAGGUUGUUUUUUACCUUGGGCAUUGACAUUGGGAUUGGUCAUGUCCCUCGUACUAGGUUUUCAAGGGUUUU
rnacentral:lncRNA from 1 species